rnacentral:rRNA from 1 species
GAUGGUUAGCGGCGGACGGGUGAGUAACACGUAGGCAACCUGCCCUCAAGACUGGGAUAACUACCGGAAACGGUAGCUAAUACCGGAUAAUUUAUUUUGCAGCAUUGUGGAAUAAUGAAAGGCGGAGCAAUCUGUCACUUGAGGAUGGGCCUGCGGCGCAUUAGCUAGUUGGUGGGGUAACGGCCCACCAAGGCGACGAUGCGUAGCCGACCUGAGAGGGUGAACGGCCACACUGGGACUGAGACACGGCCCAGACUCCUACGGGAGGCAGCAGUAGGGAAUCUUCCGCAAUGGGCGAAAGCCUGACGGAGCAACGCCGCGUGAGUGAUGAAGGUUUUCGGAUCGUAAAGCUCUGUUGCCAAGGAAGAACGUCUUCUAGAGUAACUGCUAGGAGAGUGACGGUACUUGAGAAGAAAGCCCCGGCUAACUACGUGCCAGCAGCCGCGGUAAUACGUAGGGGGCAAGCGUUGUCCGGAAUUAUUGGGCGUAAAGCGCGCGCAGGCGGUUCUUUAAGUCUGGUGUUUAAACCCGAGGCUCAACUUCGGGUCGCACUGGAAACUGGGGGACUUGAGUGCAGAAGAGGAGAGUGGAAUUCCACGUGUAGCGGUGAAAUGCGUAGAUAUGUGGAGGAACACCAGUGGCGAAGGCGACUCUCUGGGCUGUAACUGACGCUGAGGCGCG